UACGAAGGGUGCAAGCGUUGCUCGGAAUUAUUGGGCGUAAAGGGUAGGUAGGUGGUCUCAUUUGUCAGGGGUGAAAGCCUUGGGCUUAACCCAAGAAGUGCCCCUGAAACGGUGAGACUUGAGUUCUGGAGAGGGUCGUGGAAUUCCCGGUGUAGCGGUGAAAUGCGUAGAGAUCGGGAGGAACACCAGAGGCGAAGGCGGCGACCUGGACAGAUACUGACACUAAACUACGAAAGCGUGGGGAGCAAACAGG
rnacentral:rRNA from 1 species